rnacentral:rRNA from 1 species
AGUUUGAUUAUGGCUUAAGACGAACGCUGGCGGCGUGCUUAACACAUGCAAGUCGAACGGAAAGGCCCUCACCUUGGUGGGGGUGCUCGAGUGGCGAACGGGUGAGUAACACGUGGGUCGAUCCUGCCCUGUACUUCGGGAUAAGCUUGGGAAACUGGGUCUAAUACCGGAUAGGACCAUGGUUUAGUGUCUCAUGGUGGAAAGAUUAUUGUUUUGGUGCAGGAUGAGCUCGCGGCCUAUCAGCUUGUUGGUGGGGUAAUGGCCUACCAAGGCGUCGACGGGUAGCCGGCCUGAGAGGGUGGACGGCCACAUUGGGACUGAGAUACGGCCCAGACUCCUACGGGAGGCAGCAGUGGGGAAUAUUGCACAAUGGGCGCAAGCCUGAUGCAGCGACGCCGCGUGGGGGAUGACGGCCUUCGGGUUGUAAACUCCUUUCGUUAGGGACGAAGCCGCACCUUUUUUUGGGUGUGGUGACGGUACCUUUGUUAAGAAGCACCGGCUAACUACGUGCCAGCAGCCGCGGUAAUACGUAGGGUGCGAGCGUUGUCCGGAAUUACUGGGCGUAAAGAGCUCGUAGGUGGUUUGUUGCGUCGUCUGUGAAAUUCCGGGGCUUAACUUCGGGGUGGCAGGCGAUACGGGCAUAACUAGAGUGCUGUAGGGGAGACUGGAAUUCCUGGUGUAGCGGUGGAAUGCGCAGAUAUCAGGAGGAACACCGAUGGCGAAGGCAGGUCUCUGGGCAGUAACUGACGCUGAGGAGCGAAAGCAUGGGGAGCGAACAGGAUUAGAUACCCUGGUAGUCCAUGCUGUAAACGGUGGGCGUUAGGUGUGGGGACCGGUUUGGUUUCUGUGCCGUAGCUAACGCAUUAAGCGCCCCGCCUGGGGAGUACGGCCGCAAGGCUAAAACUCAAAGGAAUUGACGGGGGCCCGCACAAGCGGCGGAGCAUGUGGAUUAAUUCGAUGCAACGCGAAGAACCUUACCUGGGUUUGACAUGCACCAGACGGUUGUAGAGAUACGUACCUCCCUUUGUGGUUGGUGUGCAGGUGGUGCAUGGUUGUCGUCAGCUCGUGUCGUGAGAUGUUGGGUUAAGUCCCGCAACGAGCGCAACCCUUGUCUUAUGUUGCCAGCACGUUUGGGUGGGGACUCAUGAGAGGCUGCCGGGGUUAACUCGGAGGAAGGUGGGGAUGACGUCAAAUCAUCUUGCCCUUUAUGCCCUGGGCUUCACACUUGCUACGAUGGUUAGUACAACGCGCGGCGAACCUGUGAGGGUGAGCGAAUCGCUGAAAGCUAAUCUCAGUUCGGAUUGGGGUCUGCAACUCGACCCCCAUGAAGUCGGAGUCGCUAGUAAUCGCAGAUCAGCAAUGCUGCGGUGAAUACGUUCCCGGGCCCUUGUACACACCGCCCGUC